rnacentral:rRNA from 2 species
CAUUGGAUCCAGACUUUGAUCCUGGCUCAGGAUGAACGCUAGCUACAGGCUUAACACAUGCAAGUCGAGGGGAAACGAUAUUGGAAGCUUGCUUCCGAUAGGCGUCGACCGGCGCACGGGUGAGUAACGCGUAUCCAACCUGCCCACCACUUGGGGAUAACCUUGCGAAAGUAAGACUAAUACCCAAUGAUAUCUCUAGAAGACAUCUGAAAGAGAUUAAAGAUUUAUCGGUGAUGGAUGGGGAUGCGUCUGAUUAGCUUGUUGGCGGGGUAACGGCCCACCAAGGCUACGAUCAGUAGGGGUUCCGAGAGGAAGGUCCCCCACAUUGGAACUGAGACACGGUCCAAACUCCUACGGGAGGCAGCAGUGAGGAAUAUUGGUCAAUGGACGAGAGUCUGAACCAGCCAAGUAGCGUGCAGGAUGACGGCCCUAUGGGUUGUAAACUGCUUUUAUAAGGGAAUAAAGUGAGUCUCGUGAGGCUCUUUGCAUGUACCUUAUGAAUAAGGACCGGCUAAUUCCGUGCCAGCAGCCGCGGUAAUACAGAAGGUCCGGGCGUUAUCCGGAUUUAUUGGGUUUAAAGGGAGCGUAGGCCGGAGACUAAGCGUGUUGUGAAAUGUAGAUGCUCAACAUCUGCACUGCAGCGCGAACUGGUUUCCUUGAGUACGCACAAAGUGGGCGGAAUUCGUGGUGUAGCGGUGAGAUGCUUAGAUAUCACGAAGAACUCCGAUUGCGAAGGCAGCUCACUGGAGCGCAACUGACGCUGAAGCUCGAAAGUGCGGGUAUCGAACAGGAUUAGAUACCCUGGUAGUCCGCACGGUAAACGAUGGAUGCCCGCUGUUGGUCUGAAUAGGUCAGCGGCCAAGCGAAAGCAUUAAGCAUCCCACCUGGGGAGUACGCCGGCAACGGUGCAACUCAAAUGAAUUGACGGA